AGUGAACGCUGGCGGUAGGCCUAGCACAUGCAAGUCGAACGGCAGCACAGUAAGAGCUUGCUCUUACGGGUGGCGAGUGGCGGACGGGUGGGGAAUACAUCGGAAUCUACUUUUUCGUGGGGGAUAACGUAGGGAAACUUACGCUAAUACCGCAUACGACCUACGGGUGAAAGCAGGGGAUCUUCGGACCUUGCGCGAUUGAAUGAGCCGAUGUCGGAUUAGCUAGUUGGCGGGGUAAAGGCCCACCAAGGCGACGAUCCGUAGCUGGUCUGAGAGGAUGAUCAGCCACACUGGAACUGAGACACGGUCCAGACUCCUACGGGAGGCAGCAGUGGGGAAUAUUGGACAAUGGGCGCAAGCCUGAUCCAGCCAUACCGCGUGGGUGAAGAAGGCCUUCGGGUUGUAAAGCCCUUUUGUUGGGAAAGAAAAGCAGCAGGUUAAUACCCCGCUGUUCUGACGGUACCCAAAGAAUAAGCACCGGCUAACUUCGUG
rnacentral:rRNA from 1 species